rnacentral:rRNA from 1 species
AUUGAACGCUGGCGGCAUGCUUUACACAUGCAAGUCGGACGAGUGGCGAACGGGUGAGUAACAUAUCGGAACGUACCGAGUAAUGGGGGAUAACUAAUCGAAAGAUUAGCUAAUACCGCAUAGUAUUCGAGCGGCCGAUAUCUGAUUAGCUGGUUGGUGGGGUAAAGGCCUACCAAGGCGACGAUCAGUAGCGGGUAUGCGAGGAUGAACCGCCACACUGAAACUAUGACGCGUCCCAACCUCCUGCGAGAGGCAGCAUUAGGGAAUUUUGGUCAAUAGGCGCAAGCCUGAUCCGGCCAUGCCGCAUGUCUGAAGAAGGCCUUCGGGUUGUAAAGGACUUUUGUCAGGGAAGCGGUACCUGAAGGAUACGCACCGGCUAACUACGUGCCAGCAGCCGCGGUAAUUG